UACGUAGGGGGCAAGCGUUGUCCGGAAUUAUUGGGCGUAAAGAGCGUGUAGGCGGCCAGAUAAGUCCGCUGUGAAAUCUCGAGGCUCAACUUCGAGCUGUCGGUGGAAACUAUCUGGCUAGAGUCCGGAAGAGGAGAAUGGAAUUCCUGGUGUAGCGGUGAAAUGCGCAGAUAUCAGGAAGAACACCCGUGGCGAAGGCGGUUCUCUGGGCCUUACCUGACGCUGAGGAGCGAAAGCGUGGGGGAGCGAACAGG
rnacentral:rRNA from 1 species